GAUUUGGUAAAGUUAAUUCAA
rnacentral:piRNA from 1 species